UGGUUCUGGCAUCGAUGAAGAACGCGGCGAAAUGCGAUAAGUAAUGUGAAUUGCAGAAUUCAGUGAAUCAUCGAAUCUUUGAACGCACAUUGCGCCCGCCGGCAUUCCGGCGGGCAUGCCUAUUCGAGCGUCAUUUCAACCCUCAGGCCCUGCCUGGUGUUGGGGCGCCGCCGCGCGCGGGCCCCCGAAUGCAGCGGCGCGCGUGGCCUGGAACCGAGCGUAGUAGACACCUCGCUCAGGGCGCCAGCCUCGCCGCGGCCGUAAAACCCCAGUAACAAGUGGUUGACCUCGGAUUAGGUAGGAAUACCCGCUGA
rnacentral:misc_RNA from 1 species